rnacentral:tRNA from 1 species
ACCGCGAUAGCUCAGCUGGUAGAGCAACUGCCCGGUAAGUGGAGGGUCGCCGGUUCGACUGCGGCUCGCGGCG